rnacentral:rRNA from 1 species
UACGAAGGAUUCGAGCGUUAUCCGGAUUUAUUGGGUUUAAAGGGUGCGUAGGCGGCCCUGUAAGUCAGUGCUGAAAUAUCCCAGCUUAACUGGGAGGGUGGCAUUGAUACUGCGGGGCUAGAGUACAGAUGAGGUAGGCGGAAUUGACGGUGUAGCGGUGAAAUGCUUAGAUAUCGUCAAGAACACCUAUAGCGAAGGCAGCUUACUAGGCUGUAACUGACGCUGAGGCACGAAAGCGUGGGGAGCAAACAGG